GACGAACGCUGGCGGCGUGCUUAACACAUGCAAGUCGAACGCUGAAGCUCAGCUUUUGUUGGGUGGAUGAGUGGCGAACGGGUGAGUAACACGUGAGUAACCUGCCCCCUUCUUUGGGAUAACGCCCGGAAACGGGUGCUAAUACUGGAUAUUCACUGGUCUUCGCAUGGGGGUUGGUGGAAAGGGUUUUUCUGGUGGGGGAUGGGCUCGCGGCCUAUCAGCUUGUUGGUGGGGUGAUGGCCUACCAAGGCUUUGACGGGUAGCCGGCCUGAGAGGGUGACCGGUCACAUUGGGACUGAGAUACGGCCCAGACUCCUACGGGAGGCAGCAGUGGGGAAUAAUGCACAAUGGGCGCAAGCCUGAUGCAGCGAUGCCGCGUGAGGGAUGGAGGCCUUCGGGUUGUGAACCUCUUUCGCUCAUGGUCAAGCCGCAACAAUGGUUGUGGUGAGGGUAGUGGGUAAAGAAGCGCCGGCUAACUACGUG
rnacentral:rRNA from 1 species